AAAUUAUCACAGGAACUUAGACCUGAAAGGGCUCAUCUAAAUCCCUUUUAUAGCUAAGGCAACCGAGGUCCUAGAAACUAUACAGUUAUUUAUAUGAUAUAGUUAUUCAAUGAGCCAAAAUGAACUCAAGAUUUUAUGACUCAGUUUAGUUUCUACCACAUAGGAGGUGGUAAAUCUAAAAACUUGGUAUUUUCUUUGAUUAGCCCCAGAUUACGUGAUCAGAGGGGGAAAAUGCUCCUAGUAAGGAACUAUGCAUACUAAAAUGUAAAAAACAGGGUUGUUACUCUUGUGUCAAAGCCCAGAUCUGAGAACAAUGGAUAAGUACACCCAUAUUCUAAGAAGAGACACCAGACAUCCCCAUAAGACUUGCUAACAGGUAGCAAAACCGGUUCUGCAACCUGGGCUACUGCCUAUGGCCAAUCUACAUAAAAGGCCAGAGACUGUGGGAAGAGAGGGCUUUCUUUUGAGAGAGUUUUCAUCCCAGUUGGGAAUGCAAUGCACUUAUUCUCCUUGAAAGGAGGCAGGGGUAGGGGGCAUGCUUCUCCUCAUCCCCACGGAAGCAGGUGGCAAGAGAAUCUCUUGGAGAGAUUAAGGGGUGCUUACUCCACAGGCUGAUGCUUGCUGACCUGCCAAAUUUAUAGGCCCACCCCAUACUGCUACUGAAGCAAAGGUACAAAGGAUUUUUAGGAAAACUUAACAUGUGUCUCUAAGAGUUGGGAGACAUUCAUGACAAAGAUUUAAGCUACGUGGACUACUCUUACAGUAGAAUGAGGAGAGCUAUAUAUGGUACAAGCUGAACUUCCAACAAAAAGGGGGCAAGGGAGUGUCUUUGGUGAGCAUAAACUAGUGUGGGAGAUCAAGAUUUGGCCACCCUGAAAUAUAUCUCUUUACCUUGAUUGUUUUCUCUGAGGGACAUUUGACCUUCCCCACUAACUGCCUAAAGAAUGUGACAUGGUGGCUCCUUCCUGGAACAGAUCUUCUCUCAUGAUGGCUGUAAUGAUAAUGUAAAAUAGAUGUUACAAUGGGAGGGGCACCAAGCCCCUUUUAUCAAAAAACUCUCUCUCUCUCUGACCACAUUAUCUAUAGAUGACCCUAAAAAGAAUUGUCUUCUUGCCCUCUGAAGUCCCAGACCACUACCCACCCCCAACACCUUCCUCGCCUUUAGCUACGAUACCUAAGCAAGCAGCUUAGAUAGAGGGACGAGUUGCUCAUUUCUGAGUUUCUCCCAUGUAUACAUGUUAUUCAACUUGGUAUUCUUUUCUCCUGCUAACCUGUCUUGUUGAUUAUUUGGCCAGCCAUAAGAACCUUAAGGGAAAGGGCAGAGGGGGAUUCUCCCUCUCUCCCUACAGUUUUGGCGCUGUGAGCAGAAUCCCCACUGGCUGGCAAGGUGCCUUCUCUGGCUAGAAGAACUGCCUUCUCCCUGGACUACUGCAGAUGAUGAGUUACGGGAACGCCUGAUGAAAGCCGGCAAAAGGUAAGACUUCUUACCAAGUCAGCCUCCCGGAAUCUCUGUCUGCGGAGUCCGGUAGAAGGAAGUGGUGAGAAUUUUUUUCUCUUUCUAAAUUUAGAUUGGCAGGAGAAAAUAUUUGGGAAACUAGUUUUUUGUGCUUUUAGUGACUCUGGUAAAUUUGGUAGAGUACUCUUGGUUUUGAUCUUGAUCCCUUUUCCUCCCAGAGAUGGUUUCCGUUUUUCUCUUUUGUCUGUGUCUUUUGUGUCGUGUGUCCUAAGAAGGAAAUACCAUAGGGUAGGACACAGGCAUAGGCCCUAUAAGCCUGCUGUCCGGGCCGGCCCCACAGACUGGUGAGUUUGCGGGUCUCACCAGACCGGUGUCUAUUUAGACAAACUUUGCUGUGGGUUAAUAUGCACAUGAGGUGAAGGCCAUUGCCAAGGGCAUCUUGGAAGCCAAAAAAAAUGCCACAAAUUUGGUGGGUACGGGUCGAGCAGUUAAGAGCCAUCAGGGCGCUCGCCACUUUCAGAAGACUCCCGUGACAGGAUAAGUUGGGUCACGGAACGGGGUAGAUGACACAGGUCCCCUGCCAACUGCAAGAAAAUGUCCGUGCAACGACGAGGUAUUCUGUAAAGGCUUUUUGGACUGUUAAUGCUCUGUUUGCUUUGAGUUUUUAUAUUUUUGACAAGCUCCCCAAAAUUCAUAUCUUAAAUAAAGUCUUUUUUUCUUUGAGAAUUUUCAAAGGGCCCUGGAACUUCUCAAAGAAAUUUGCUCUCUUCCUAUAAGGAGAAAGAUACUAAACUUAUUAGGCUUAUUCAGUAUGUUAAAUUACAUGGACAGCAUUGUCAGACGAGUGAUGAUAAGUCUGCUUAGGUGGUAUUAUGUGGGUAAAUGUUAUUGACAUAGGUGUUUUAAAAUUGUAUAACAUUACUGAAAUUCUGAUCUGUCCUGGUUAUCAGUCAUAAUUCUGGUUAUUAUUUUAACGUGUUGUAUGUCACAAAAUUAACCAAAUUUCUUUGUCAAUUGCCAUUUUUGAGGUCUUGUUUACAGACUUAUUUCUUGGCUCUAAUGCUUUUGCAAAAUAUGUUUCAACUUCAAAAAAAUUCAUAGAAAGGACUCUGACAUUUACACUGGAACACAAGUUUCUGACAAACUUUCUGAUCAUAAAACUGAACUUGAUUUAAGGAAAAUUUUUUCUCUUUUCUCCUGAGCUAGCUAUGACUUAUAACAAUUUGGUAAAUGAUACUUUUGUAAGUAAAAUUGAAAUAUUUAUCUUUUUCUCUCUAUCUGAUCCCUCGAAUUUGGAAACUCUUAGUGAGUAUUGUUGUUUUCAUGGUAAUAUAGUUAUUUGCAUAAGUUCAAUAAGAAUCUGUUCUCCUUAUAACAGGACACAAAUGGAAACACUGGUUAAAUUACCAAGGCUGUGACUGGAACAUCAUAUUUGCAAUAUAGCCAUACAGCUUUUGAGGUAUGAAGAUUGGACUUUAUGGAAUAAAGCCACAUGGAAAUAUUGGCCUGGUACCUUAUGUUCCAAGCAGCACUUACCAGGAUAAGUCAAGAAUGUCACUUAUCUGGCAGGUACAAGGAACCUCGAAAUAUUUGGGGGGAACCUCGGAAGAGAGGAAUUCACCCGAAUCUGUAGGUAUUACAGGCGAAGUUGGAUGACAAAAUCCUUGGCUUGGCUUUCCUGGCCUCGAGAGGCCUUUAAAAUUCAAUCUGAGAUUCCUUAUAAAAAGUUCCAGCAAAGCAGAUUUAAAAGAGCCUAUGUGAUCAAUUGCUCUUCUUGCUGUACUUAUGUAAAUAAUUGGGCCAACUUUAUUGGAACUAGACUUAUUUCACAAACUAGUUAGUUUUAAUUUGGCUAUCUUUGAUAAAAAUGAGGGUGAUUUUAGAGAGAAAAAUUAUAUUUCAGUAAAAACUCUAGUAUACAUUUACGGAUAUUAGAUCCUAGUUUUGUUAAUUGUCUUUUGAGGUUUUUGUUUUAUAUCUGUUUACUGGACUGGAUCCUGAUUUCUUCUAGUCUCCUAAAAUAUCUGGCUACAGAUCUCCAAACUAAUGUUUUUCAUUUUUUCCAUCAUUUUCAUUUGGAAUCACUGAGAACUAAACCUGCCCUUUAUCCUGAAGCCUUACAAACUGAAGCUGAUGGACUUGAUAUAAACUUAAGAGAUUACAUGAUGACAUCAUCAGAGACAUUUUAAACUGCAAAAGAUGCUUUGACGCUGACAUCUAAAAAUCUUCUUAACUGGCUGUCCUCUAAACUCAGAAACUGCUUUACAACUUGCUCCAACCAUUAACCUUGUUUUUCUUUUGUUUACAUAGAAAUGCUUCUAUUAAAUACUUGAUUGCUUGCUUCCACAAUAAAGGCGUAACCUUGACAGCCCACCUGCAUCACCACCUUCUAAAAUGAACUUAAUUGAACUGAUCUAUUAUCAGGACUAAGAAAUGUGUUCAGUGAGAUGAAACAAUCUACCAACUCAGCUUCUGGACUAUGAAACUUCUUUAAGUUUCAAAAGGACUGUGAAACAUUUAGUUUCAAAGGCGGGACUGUGGGAGAUCAAGAUUUGGCCACCCUGAAAUAUAUCUCUUUACCUUGA